UUUCCGUAGGUGAACCGGCGGAAGGAUCAUUAUUGUAUAACCGAGGUGCGAGGGCUGUCGCUGACCCGAAAGGUCGUGCACGCCCGAGUGCCCUCACACACAUCCAUCUCACCCCUAUGUGCACCACCGCGUGGGUCCCCCUUUGGCUUGUUCGGAGGGGGGCUUACGUUUUCACACAAACUUUGUAUGCAGUGUAGAAUGUAUUUUUUGUUUUUGCGAUCACGCAAUCAAUACAACUUUCAACAACGGAUCUCUUGGCUCUC
rnacentral:misc_RNA from 1 species